rnacentral:rRNA from 1 species
CAGGCCUAACACAUGCAAGUCGAACGCUAUCGCAAGAUAGAGUGGCGCACGGGUGAGUAACACGUGGGAAUCUGCCCUUCUCUGCGGGACAACAGUUGGAAACGACUGCUAAUACCGCAUACGCCCUUCGGGGGAAAGGUCCGCCGGAGAAGGAGGAGCCCGCGUCUGAUUAGCUUGUUGGUGGGGUAAAGGCCUACCAAGGCGACGAUCAGUAGCUGGUCUGAGAGGAUGAUCAGCCACACUGGGACUGAGACACGGCCCAGACUCCUACGGGAGGCAGCAGUGGGGAAUAUUGGACAAUGGAGGCAACUCUGAUCCAGCAAUGCCGCGUGUGUGAUGAAGGCCCUAGGGUUGUAAAGCACUUUCAUUGGUGAAGAUGAUGACGGUAACCAAAGAAGAAGCCCCGGCUAACUUCGUGCCAGCAGCCGCGGUAAUACGAAGGGGGCGAGCGUUGUUCGGAAUUACUGGGCGUAAAGGGAGCGCAGGCGGUUCAAUUAGUUAGGCGUGAAAGCCCCGGGCUCAACCUGGGAACUGCGCUUAAUACUGGUGAGCUAGAAAACAGGAGAGGAUAGUGGAAUUCCCAGUGUAGAGGUGAAAUUCGUAGAUAUUGGGAAGAACACCGGUGGCGAAAGCGGCUAUCUGGUCUGUU